UCCCCACCUUUGUGGGUGGAGUUCAGGGUCAGGAACCAUUAGAAACACAGCAAGGGAGAACCCCCCAGGGACUCAAGCCCAAUCACAGCACCUGGGCCACCCUUCACAAGGGGUUUGGGGUGGGACAAUGGAACUCUUUGUCUCCCCUGAGGCCGCUGCCACAGGCUGCAGCUCCAGAGCAGAGGGCACACGUAAUUAGUCCUUUUGUUUCAUCUGUGUCUCUGAUCUCCACCUCCUCACUACCACGAUUUUGCUCUUUUCCUCUCUCAUCUGCAGCUGGAAUCAAAGGGGGUGUGUGGGAGGUGUGGUGUGGGCAGGAUUUCAAGGGGAUGGUAAGAUGUUUCAGCUGGCUGGUACAUGGGAACAAGUAAGCCACUGGAAGUCUCCCAAAGCCUGCAGAGCAUGGCCAGAACACGGACAGGAACUGGGAGAAGAAGCAUUCUCACACUGGUUGCUGCCUUCCACCCUCUGAGCCAGUCCCUCACCAACUGCACAUUGGAGCAGGCCUGCCUGUGCUGAAGGAAAACACUUACAGGAGACACAGAUUCAGUUUCUAAUCUUCACAUCCUCUGGAAAUACACCUUCCUUCCCAUGGUUCCUGGGUGCCAUUUGAUCUAUGUCAGAUAUGAAACCAGGAAAGAAGAAGAUGCCGAGAGCCUUAACUGAAAACAGAAAGUAUCACUGUCUAAAUUCCCAUGGAUUGCAGACCAUUGAAUUCAACCCUGGUAUUUCUGUUGAGUAUAAGAAUUUUUGCCUGUCAAACUUGUCCAGGCUAUCUGGUCUGGGAAGUGAAGAGAUUUUCAUGUGAAGAAACGACAUCUUCCUUUGUUAGUUUGUUCCAGUGGUUAAUUUUCCUCAUUACCAAAUCAUAUGUAGACAUUUCUGCCAACUUUAGUUGUGAUAUUGCCUUUACCAAUUUGUGUGAGAACACUUCAUAUGCUCUUGUGCUGCCCUGUGUGUAUUUGUGUGUCUAUGUUGUGUCUUCCCAUUUUUAAAGCUAUUUAAGCAAAAAAAAAUCUUGGUUAAGACACUGGUUGAGAGAUGAAGUUAUCACCCUAAGUUUAAUGUAGAAAGGGAAAUCUAACCCAGAGAGGCACCUUAGAACUUCAAUUGUCUUAAAUGCUCAUUCUGGAAAAAGCUAGUAAAUUUUAAGGGUAUCUUUCCCUGGCAGGAAGAGCAGGAAUUUAAAUCGGUCUUUUGUGGUCCCAUUGGUUUAAACAUCCAUAUCUUGUGGAUGUUAGCAAAUCCAAACUGUUCUGCUCAAUUUUUAUAAUCUACCAGACCACUCCAACAUAGUCAUGGUUCAUUGCUCUAAUCUAACAUGUCACCAAUUUCACCAGCUGGCAAACCCAGCAACAGUGGUUUUCUCUGCUUUAUAGAUAACGAGCAUCUUAAUAGGCAACAAUUAAAUAUUCAUUUAGGAACUGAUGGAAAUCAAGUCACUGGGGAUUCUGCCUUCUAAAAAGCUCUAUUCCACCAAUAAUUGCCUCACCCAUGUAAAAAGUCUGUGACUCCAAAUUAAGUCUCUUAUCCUGGUUGCCUCAACAGCUGGUAGAAUUUCUGCCUCUGUAUUUCUCUCUCUCUCCCCAUCCCUGUCCAGGGUUAUUCACAGCAGGAGAUGGGAAGGAGAGCACCAGAAGUUCACUCUGUCCAGCCAUAAAGGAAAACACUGAUUGACAGCCAAAGAGGGGAAGAAAAACACAAAUCAAAAAAAGGACUGAAGCAAGAGGACAUUUGGGGGGCAUGAGGGGGAAUUCUCUUGCAAUGAAUCUCCUUUUACUCCAGCUAUAGUAAUAAAAUUCCCAAUGCACUGUCA